rnacentral:rRNA from 1 species
UACGUAGGGUGCGAGCGUUAAUCGGAAUUACUGGGCGUAAAGGGUGUGUAGGCGGUUGGAUAAGUGUGGUGUGAAAUCUCCCGGCUCAACUGGGAGGGUGCGCCGAAUACUGAGAGGCUAGAGUGUGGGAGAGGAAAGUGGAAUUCCUGGUGUAGCGGUGAAAUGCGUAGAUAUCAGGAGGAACACCGGUGGUGUAAACGGCUUUCUGGACCAUAAACUGACGCUGAUGCACGAAAGCGUGGGUAGCAAACAGG